rnacentral:rRNA from 1 species
GACGAACGCUGGCGGCGCGCUUAACACAUGCAAGUCGAACGGAAAGGCCUGCUUUCCCUUGUGGAUUGCGGGUACUCGAGUGGCGAACGGGUGAGUAACACGUGAGUGAUCUGCCCCCAACUUGGGUAUAAGCCUGGGAAACUGGGUCUAAUUCCCGAUAGGACUGCAGGGUGGUGCCUGUGGUGGAAAACGAUUUUCUAGUGGUUGGGGAUGAGCUCGCGGCCUAUCAGCUUGUUGGUGGGGUAAUGGCCUACCAAGGCGGCGACGGGUAGCCGGCCUGAGAGGGUGGACGGCCACAUUGGGACUGAGACACAGCCCAGACUCCUACGGGAGGCAGCAGUGGGGAAUAUUACACAAUGGGCGGAAGCCUGAUGCAGCGACGCCGCGUGGGGGAUGACGGCCUUCGGGUUGUAAACUCCUUUCGACCGCGAGGAAGCCACCUGGUUGGAAGGGUGGUGACGGUAGUGGUAGAAGAAGCACCGGCUAACUACGUG